GGCUCCAUAGCUCAGUGGUUAGAGCGCCUGUCUAGUAAACAGGAGGUCGGGGGUUCGAUCCCCCCUGGAGCCU